rnacentral:rRNA from 1 species
CCUACGGGUGGCAGCAGUGAGGAAUAGUGGUCAAUGGACGAGAGUCUGAACCAGCCAAGUAGCGUGAAGGAUGACUGCCCUAUGGGGUGUAAACUUCUUGUAUAUGGGAAUAAAAUGUUCCACGUGGGGGAUUUUGUAUGUACCAUAUGAAUAAGGAUCGGCUAACUCCGUGCCAGCAGCCGCGGUAAUACGGAGGAUCCGAGCGUUAUCCGGAUUUAUUGGGGUUAAAGGGAGCGUAGGUGGAUUGUUAAGUCAGUUUUGAUAGUUUGCGGCUCAACCGUAAAAUUGCAGUUGAAACUGGCAGUCUUGCGUACAGUUGCGGUGGUCUGAAUUCGUGUUGUAGCGGUGAAAUGCUUCGCUCUCACGA